GGGUAGGGCUAUAGCUCAGUGGUAGAGCAUCUGCCUUGCACGCAGAAGGUCCCAGGUUCGAUUCCUGGCACCCCCCA